rnacentral:rRNA from 1 species
AGGGAAUCUUCCGCAAUGGACGAAAGUCUGACGGAGCAACGCCGCGUGAGUGAUGAAGGUUUUCGGAUCGUAAAGCUCUGUUGUUAGGGAAGAACAAGUACCGUUCGAAUAGGGCGGCACCUUGACGGUACCUAACCAGAAAGCCACGGCUAACUACGUGCCAGCAGCCGCGGUAAUACGUAGGUGGCAAGCGUUGUCCGGAAUUAUUGGGCGUAAAGCGCGCGCAGGCGGUCUUUUAAGUCUGAUGGGAAAGCCCACGGCUCAACCGUGGAGGGUCAUUGGAAACUGGAAGACUUGAGUGCAGAAGAGGAGAGUGGAAUUCCACGUGUAGCGGUGAAAUGCGUAGAGAUGUGGAGGAACACCAGUGGCGAAGGCGACUCUCUGGUCUGUAACUGACGCUGAGGCGCGAAAGCGUGGGGAGCAAAC